rnacentral:rRNA from 1 species
UACAGAGGUCUCAAGCGUUGUUCGGAUUCAUUGGGCGUAAAGGGUGCGUAGGCGGCGCGGUAAGUCGGGUGUGGAAUCUCGGAGCUUAACUCCGAAAUUGCAUUCGAUACUGCCGUGCUUGAGGACUGGAGAGGAGACUGGAAUUUACGGUGUAGCAGUGAAAUGCGUAGAGAUCGUAAGGAAGACCAGUGGCGAAGGCGGGUCUCUGGACAGUUCCUGACACUGAGGCACGAAGGCCAGGGGAGCAAACGGG